rnacentral:rRNA from 1 species
CAUAUCAAUAAGCGGAGGAAAAGAAACCAACAGGGAUUGCCUCAGUAACGGCGAGUGAAGCGGCAAAAGCUCAAAUUUGAAAUCUAGCACCUUCGGUGUUUGAGUUGUAAUUUGAAGAUGGUAACCUUGGGUUUGGCUCUUGUCUAUGUUCCUUGGAACAGGACGUCAUAGAGGGUGAGAAUCCCGUCUGAUGAGAUGCCCAUUCCUAUGUAAGGUGCUAUCGAAGAGUCGAGUUGUUUGGGAAUGCAGCUCUAAGUGGGUGGUAAAUUCCAUCUAAAGCUAAAUAUUGGCGAGAGACCGAUAGCGAACAAGUACAGUGAUGGAAAGAUGAAAAGAACUUUGAAAAGAGAGUGAAAAAGUACGUGAAAUUGUUGAAAGGGAAGGGCAUUAGAUCAGACUUGGUGUUUUACGAUUAUCUUCUCUUCUUGAGUUGUGCACUCGUAUUUCACUGGGCCAGCCUGAAUUCGGAUGGCAAGAUAAUGGCAGUUGAAUGUGGCUUCACUUCGGUGGAGUGUUAUAGCUUCUGCUGAUAUUGCCUGUCUGGAUCGAGGGCUGCGUCUUUUGACUAGGAUGCU